rnacentral:RNase_P_RNA from 2 species
UGAGUCAAUUGGACAGUCGCCGCGUUAGUAAUAACGGGGAGGAAAGUCCGGGCUCCAAUGAGCAGGGUGCCAGAUAACGUCUGGGCGGCGUGAGCCGACGACAAGUGCAGCAGAGAGAAGACCGCCACUUCACUUGUGUAGUGGUAAGGGUGAAAGGGUGCGGUAAGAGCGCACCGAGCCACUGGUAACAGUUGGUUGCAAGGUAAACUCCACUCGGAGCAAGAUCAAAUAGGGUUCCACCUCUUAUUUAUAAGAGCAGGCGUGGCUCGCGUUGGAACCGGGUAGAUCGCUUGAGCCUGUGAGCGAUUGCAGGCCUAGAUGAAUGACUGUCACUCGAAAGAGGUACAAGACCCGGCUUACAGAUUGUCUCGAUGA